UACGUAGGGAGCAAGCGUUGUCCGGAAUCAUUGGGCGUAAAGCGCGCGUAGGUGGCUUCGUAAGUCCGCUGUGAAAGUCAAAGGCUCAACCUUUGAAAGCCGGUGGAUACUGUGAAGCUAGAGUACGGAAGAGGCGAGUGGAAUUCCUGGUGUAGCGGUGGAAUGCGCAGAUAUCAGGAGGAACACCAAUAGCGAAGGCAGCUCGCUGGGACGUAGCUGACACUGAGGCGCGAAAGCGUGGGGAGCGAACAGG
rnacentral:rRNA from 1 species